rnacentral:rRNA from 1 species
UACGUAGGUGGCUAGCGUUGUCCGGAUUUACUGGGCGUAAAGAGCGCGCAGGCGGUCGUUCAAGUCGAGUGUGAAAGCCCCCGGCUCAACUGGGGAGGGUCACUCGAUACUGAUCGACUUGAAGGCGGGAGAGGGAAGCGGAAUUCCCGGUGUAGUGGUGAAAUGCAUAGAUAUCGGGAGGAACACCAGUGGCGAAGGCGGCUUUCUGGCCCGUUCUUGACGCUGAGGCGCGAAAGCUAGGGUAGCAAACGGG